rnacentral:rRNA from 1 species
GUGGGGAAUAUUGGUCAAUGGGCGGAAGCCUGAACCAGCCAUGCCGCGUGCAGGAAUAAGGCCCUACGGGUCGUAAACUGCUUUUGUACGGGAGCAAUAAGGGCCACGUGUGACCUGAUGAGAGUACCGUACGAAUAAGCAUCGGCUAACUCCGUGCCAGCAGCCGCGGUAAUACGGAGGAUGCGAGCGUUAUCCGGAUUCAUUGGGUUUAAAGGGUGCGUAGGCGGCGUGCCAAGUCAGGGGUGAAAGGUUCCGGCUCAACUGGGACAGUGCCUUUGAUACUGGUGUGCUGGAGUGCGCUUGCCGUGGGAGGAAUGAGUGGUGUAGCGGUGAAAUGCUUAGAUAUCACUCAGAACACCGAUUGCGAAGGCAUCUCACGAAGGCGUAACUGACGCUGAGGCACGAAAGCGUGGGGAUCAAACAGG